AUGUGUAGGACAUCUACGUAGUUAAUCUUUAAAACGCUCUCAUGUAGUAUGGAAGUUCACAUCAUCAGCCUGCUAGAAAGAAGUCAUAUCAUUUCGUAACUU